rnacentral:snRNA from 1 species
GGGUGUGAGAGUGAUCUGGCUACAACAUCUGUCACCCCAUUGAUUGCCAGGCUGGCUUCAUUAGUUCUGGCUGGCUAGGCUGGGGUCUCCUUCAUCCUUACCUUCCCAUGUACAUCUUUUCUUCAGCUGCAUGCUGUCAAGAAGAAUAUAGUUCUUAGCAGGGAAUAACCCCACUUGACUCAAGAACCCCCUAAAUAAUCUCUUAGUUCUGACAUAUUUGUUCACCCUAAAGAACUAUCUCUAAUGUCAAUGGCACCCAGAGUGGCUGAAGCCUCACAGGAAAAGAGGUUCUAUCUCUGGAAUUAAGGAUUCAACAAGGGGAGUCCAAAGACUUUCAGACUUUCAUUGAAGAUUAAAAAGUCCAAAAUAUUAAGAGGAACAUGGUCCAAACCACUGCUAUGAGGACGUUGUAGGAUGUCACAAACGUUUGUCCUU